ensembl:lncRNA
AUCCCGUCGAUCCUCUGAUUCCUGCCCCACCCCCGUGCCCUGCUGUCCCUCUGUCCCUUCUGCACUGGGCUGUUCUCUUCCUGGCUGCCUGUCUGUCUGUCCUUCCGCUGCUGUCCCAUCCCACAUCUUAAUCCGACCUCACCCAUUCAUCCUUCCACAAUUUGUCCCUCCACGACCAUUCCUAUCUCCUACUCCCUACCCAACCAUCUAUCCCCACCCAUCCCCACCCAUCUGUCCAUCUGUCCCCAUCCAUCUCUCCAUCCAUCCUCAUCCAUCUGUCUAUUCCUCCAUCCCCAUCCCUCCAUCCCUAUCCAUCCCUACCCAUCCCCAUCCAUCCAUUCAUCCGUCCAUCCAUCCCCACCAAUCCUGAUCCAUCCCUCCAUCCCCAUCCAUCCAUCCCUGUCCAUCUGUUCAUCCCCGUCCAUCUAUCCAUACCCAUCCCCACCUAUCCCCGUCCAUCCGUCCAUCCAUUCCCGUCCAUCCAUCCCCACCAAUCCCCAUCCAUCCAUCCCUGUCCAUCUGUCCAUCCCUCCAUCCCUAUCCAUACCCAUCCCCACCAAUUCCCAUCCAUCCGUCCAUCCAUUCCCGUCCAUCCAUCCCCACCAAUCCCCAUCCAUCCAUCCCCGUCCAUCUGUCCAUCCCUCCAUCCCCAUCCCACCAUCCAUCCCUACUCAUCCCCAUCCAUCUGCCCAUCCAUCCCCAUCCAUCCAUCUCUACCCAUCCACGCGUCCAUCUACCCAUCCCCACCCCACCCUGUCCCCCGGUCCCCACCUGUCCGUCUGUCUGUCCGUCCGUCUCUCUCUCUCUGCCCCGGUCUCUCUUUCACCCCCAGAUUUUACCGCUGUGGUUCCAGAGACGCCGCGCCUGGACAGCAGCUUGCAGAAGGCCCGCGCCCGGCUGCUAGCCAAGAGCCGCCGGCACCGGCCCUCGCGCUCCCGCCUGCGAGACAGCGCCAGCUCCACCGAGGGCGAGGAGGGGCUGGAGGCGGCGGAGGGGCUGGCGGGCACCCCCUCGCCCAAGUCCUGCCCCAGCUCCGACAGCUCGCCCGGCUUCGCCCGCCGCGAUGCGUGGCCCCAGCGGCACAGCGAAGAUGACAGCAGGGACAUGAGCCCCCCCGAGCCGGCCAGCCCCACGGUGGGGCUGGAUAAGAAGACCCGGAGAAAGUUCCUGGAUUUGGGGUGAGACCCAGAAUUGGGGAGGGAUGAAGGACGGAUGGUGGGGCAUGGUGGGAACGCGGAGGAGGGGUCUCCAUAGAGGUGGGGGGACGGAUGGAUGGACCUCUGAAGAUAGAUGGAUGUCUCUGAAAAUGGAUGGAAGGAGGAGGUCUGAAGAUGGAAGGAUGGAUGGGAGGGUCUCUGAAGGUGGGAGGAGGAAGAGAUGCAUGGGUAGAUGGGGGAGGGAAAAUGAAAAUGGAUGGGGAUGGAUGGAUGGGGAGGGUCUCUGUACAUGGAUGGGUGGAUGGAAGCAUCUGAAAAAGGAUGGAAGGAGGAGGUCUGAGGAUGGAGGAAUGGAUGGAUGGGUCUCUGAAGAUGGAUGGAGGGAAGUCUCCGAAAAUAGAAGGAAGGAGGAUGUCUGAAGAUAGAUGGAUGGAUGGAUGGAUGGAUGGAUGGAUGGAUGGAUGGGG